AGCAGUCGCCGCGGUAAUACGAAGGGUGCAAGCGUUACUCGGAAUUACUGGGCGUAAAGCGUGUGUAGGUGGUUGUUUAAGUCCGUUGUGAAAGCACUGGGCUCAACCUGGGAAUUGCAGUGGAUACUGGCAAGCUAGAGUGUGUCAGAGGAUGGUGAAUUCCCGGUGUAGCGGUGAAAUGCGUAGAGAUCGGGAGGAACAUCAGUGGCGAAGGCGGCCAUCUGGGACAACACUGACGCUGAGGCACGAAAGCGUGGGGAGCAAACAGGAUUAGAUACCCCAGUAGUCCCUGUCUCUUAUACA
rnacentral:rRNA from 1 species